GCCCUAAAUCUAGCCCCCAUUUCUACCAAAAGGCCCCCCCCCC
rnacentral:rRNA from 1 species